UCCCUGGUGGUCCAGCGGCAGAGACUCCACACUCUCAAUGCAGGGAGCCCAGGUUCGAUCCCUGGUCCGGGAA
rfam:TPA: Bos taurus chromosome 6, whole genome shotgun sequence.